ACCAACCCAACCUUAUAUCAUUAAUCAUCUGUACAGCUUUUUCAAAAAUUAUGAGGCUGUUCCCAGAAAUUACAGCAGUAUUCGUCCUGAUAAAAAAGCUAGAGAUUCUACAGUGAUAGAUAUAAGAGAACUGUUAUACAAAAAUGCUGAUACAAUGUGUAAACUGUGACAUACAGAAAGCUGAAUUCUACUUCCACAAAGAAAAAAGUCAGAUUUAUACGAAUCACCAAAAGCAUUAUACAUGGAACCUAGAAAAAUUGAAAAAAGCAAGUUUGAAAAAUCUUCAGUCCCUUAAACCAUAUAUGCAUAAAGAUUAUCAUCACUUUUAUGAUAACCUUUCUUUUUAAUACAUUGUUUUUACUUUAUUGCCAUUACAG
rnacentral:lncRNA from 1 species